rnacentral:rRNA from 1 species
UACGGAGGGGGCUAGCGUUGUUCGGAAUUACUGGGCGUAAAGCGCGCGUAGGCGGACCUGCAAGUCGGGGGUGAAAGCCCGAGGCUCAACCUCGGAACUGCCUUCGAUACUGCGGGUCUCGAGUCCGGGAGAGGUGAGUGGAAUUCCUAGUGUAGCGGUGGAAUGCGCAGAUAUCAGGAGGAACACCAAUGGCGAAGGCAGCUCGCUGGGCAGUAACUGACGCUGAGGAGCGAAAGCGUGGGAGCGAACAGG